CCGCCGCCUGGCCGCCGCCCCGCCGCCGGACACCCCUGAAUUGCUGCGAAGGAUCUGGACAGCUGUAGCUGUUACGACUGCAAGGCCGCCAACAAAUAGCAAGAUGGAAAAGUCGUCAAAGAUUGUGGCAAAAUGGGAUUCAUUUGCCGCGAAAGCUUUCAAUGACAUUUGUGUGGAAGAAGUACUUGCUUUCAAUCGACCGCAGCAAUGUUUGAAUGCGGUGGGAUAUGCAAACCUUAUUAGAAAGUUUUAUGAGCGUACCAAGAGGCCAUACGGUGAGAGUCAAAUGAAGAAUAGGUGGGAUAUAUUGAAUCUAUCAUGAGAUUAGCUGUUGACAUUGUGAGGCCUAAGGAUCUGCAAUUUUCUACUAUUCAUCCUAAACUACAAGAAGCAAGGUUUUGGCCUCAUUUCAAAGAUUGCAUAGGAGCAAUUGAUGGUACCCAUAUACCCGUAACUGUGCCAUUAGCUGAUCAACCGAAAUACAUUGGUCGGCAUGGGUAUCCUUCACAAAACGUCAUGGCGGUUUGUGACUUUGAUAUGCGGUUCACAUUUGCUGUCACUGGUUGGCCUAGUUCUGUCCAUGAUACUCGUGUAUUAUUGGACACGCUUGUCACAUACAAGGAUCAAUUUCCACAUCCUCCCGAUGGUAAGUACUAUCUUGUUGACUCUGGAUAUCCUAAUAGAAAAGGAUUUCUUGCACCCUACAAGGGACAGAGGUAUCAUGUUUCCGAAUGGCAGCAUGGUCAGCAUCCGGUAGGAUUGAAAGAAGUGUUUAAUCAUGCACAUUCAUCCCUUAGAAAUGUGAUUGAGCGAUCAUUUGGAGUUCUAAAGAUGAAGUGGCGCAUUCUCUUGAAUUUGCCCAGUUAUCCGAUUAACAAGCAGUCGAAAAUUAUAGUUGCUUGUAUGGCCCUUCACAAUUUCAUCAGAGAUAGUGCCGUACAUGACGUGCAUUUUGAAGAGGAUUUUCAGGAAGAUGAUGGUAAUUCAACCCAACCUAGCACAGAUGGUGGUGGUGGUGCUUUAGGAGAUGACA